GCUAAAACUUGAAAGUAACAGUGUCUGGCACCCCAUUCGGUCCUUCCCCUUAAUUCCCUCCAACGUUGGGGAAUGUCGUCAAUUCUCUGCAGUCAGCUGCUUGGUAGAGGUAGACAGAAUCACAAUGCUCAUUUCGAGAACAAUACCAAGCUACCUCAUCUUAGGGAAUGUACUAUGUGUCUUGAGCAUUCUAUCGAGAUUCCUUCCUGGGAAGAUGAACCAGAGAGAUUGCUGCUUUUUAACCCCGAACAUGACAUAUGGCUUGCGGCAGAUCAAUUGAUCAUUGGUUGGCUUUACAACACAAUAACGCCCGAAGUUUCCACACAAGUCACGGGACACGAUGAAGCCAAAUCUUUGUGGGAGUCAAUUCAAGAGUAUUGGAGUGCAAUUCAGAUCGCAAGAAGAUCACAACAGACAAAUGCUACAAGAAACUCGCAAAGGUAUGAUGACCAUGUGACUACCUGUCUACCAUGAAAAUUUAUUUUGAUAACUUCCAACUUGUUGGAUAUCCUAUGGGUAUGAGAAGUUUUAUUUCUUAUGUUGUUGUUGGACUUGGUGAUGCAUAUACUCCAAUUAUUUGUGUUAUAAGAAGUCAAGAACUGUCUUGGAGCAAAAUAUAGUUUGAAUGAUUGUCUUUUGAAGAACGUUAUGAACAUCUUCAAACUCGUAAGAACUCUAUUUCAAUUAAUCUUGUGCAAGCUGAGAAACUCAAGAACAACCAACCAUCAUCCAACCCGUCUUCAUCAAAACAGUUCAAUAGAUCUCCCCAGAAUCAAUUCAAUCGUGGAGGAAGGAAUAGGGGACAAGGAAGGUAUUCCCCUUAUCCAUUCAAUAACUGGCCUAUGUGUCAAAUUUGUGGAAAAUUAGGGCAUGCGGCUGUCAUUUGCUAUCACAGGUAUGAUAAGAAGGAUAACCACUGGCGGAGUCCAACAGUUCAAACACCAAUCCUGCCUCCCCUACCUUUGUCGAACCUUCUACUCUUCUUCCUUAUCUCGAUACUAUCCAAGAUUCUGCUUGGUAUUUGGAUAGUGGAGCAACCAAUCACAUCAUAUAUGAGCUAGGCAACCUCACAUUCAAAGAGAAUAUUCAGAAAUGAAAUCCAAGGUCAUGGUGUUGGAAGGCAUCGUUGAGAAUGGGCUCUACUGGUUGCUAGGAUUUUUGGAAGCCUCAAACCUAUCUAUUGGAAAUAAGGAAGCUUUGAUGAUCAACAUAGGAGCAACCAUUUCUGUGAAGACCACAAUCCUCAAUGCUACAAGACACUUGACACCUCUUCUUAGUCAUGCUUUUGUCUCUUAUACAAAAAAUGUAUGGCAUCAAAGAUUAGUCCAUACUUCUUGAAUUUUGAGUCAAGUUCUUCAUCAAUGUAAAGCUUCCAUUAAAGAUAAUGAAAA